GAGGGAAACCGAGUCUUAAUUGGGCGUUAAGUUGCAGGGUAUAGACCCGAAACCCGGUGAUCUAGCCAUGGGCAGGUUGAAGGUUGGGUAACACUAACUGGAGGACCGAACCGACUAAUGUUGAAAAAUUAGCGGAUGACCUGUGGCUGGGGGUGAAAGGCCAAUCAAACCGGGAGAUAGCUGGUUCUCCCCGAAAGCUAUUUAGGUAGCGCCUCGUGAAUUCAUCUCCGGGGGUAGAGCACUGUUUCGGCUAGGGGGCCAUCCCGGCUUACCAACCCGAUGCAAACUGCGAAUACCGGAGAAUGUUAUCACGGGAGACACACGGCGGGUGCUAACGUCCGUCGUGAAGAGGGAAACAACCCAGACCGCCAGCUAAGGUCCCAAAGUCAUGGUUAAGUGGGAAACGAUGUGGGAAGGCCCAGACAGCCAGGAUGUUGGCUUAGAAGCAGCCAUCAUUUAAAGAAAGCGUAAUAGCUCACUGGUCGAGUCGGCCUGCGCGGAAGAUGUAACGGGGCUAAACCAUGCACCGAAGCUGCGGCAGCGAACGUAUCACUUAAAGCGAUUCAGCGGAUGACGAUUGACGGAGCGAAGCGACGUCAAAGCGUAUACAAAGUCGAGUCGGUUUAAGGAUACGUUCGUUGGGUAGGGGAGCGUUCUGUAAGCCUGUGAAGGUGGCCUGUGAGGGUUGCUGGAGGUAUCAGAAGUGCGAAUGCUGACAUAAGUAACGAUAAAGCGGGUGAAAAGCCCGCUCGCCGGAAGACCAAGGGUUCCUGUCCAACGUUAAUCGGGGCAGGGUGAGUCGACCCCUAAGGCGAGGCCGAAAGGCGUAGUCGAUGGGAAACGGGUUAAUAUUCCCGUACUUGGUGUUACUGCGAAGGGGGGACGGAGAAGGCUAUGUUGGCCGGGCGACGGUU
rnacentral:rRNA from 1 species